GACGAACGCUGGCGGCGUGCUUAACACAUGCAAGUCGAACGGAAAGGCCCUGCUUUUGUGGGGUGCUCGAGUGGCGAACGGGUGAGUAACACGUGAGUAACCUGCCCUUGACUUUGGGAUAACUUCAGGAAACUGGGGCUAAUACCGGAUAGGAGCUCCUGCUGCAUGGUGGGGGUUGGAAAGUUUCGGCGGUAGGGGAUGGACUCGCGGCUUAUCAGCUUGUUGGUGGGGUAGUGGCUUACCAAGGCUUUGACGGGUAGCCGGCCUGGGAGGGUGACCGGCGACAUUGGUACUGAGAUACGGACCAGACUCCAACGGGAGGCAGCAGUGGGGAAUAUUGCACAAUGGGCGGAAGCCUGAUGCAGCAACGCCGCGUGCGGGAUGACGGCCUUCGGGUUGUAAACCGCUUUCGCCUGUGACGAAGCGUGAGUGACGGUAAUGGGUAAAGAAGCACCGGCUAACUACGUG
rnacentral:rRNA from 1 species